GUGCGAAGGAUUUUUACGAUUGGCUGGCGUGUGCACGUGUAACAACCUGGCCGGAUACGUAAUCCUCGUAUUUCGAUGGGAAAACGACAGUCAGUGACGAGGUGACGACGACGACCACGAGCACGACGGAGACACACGAAGAAGAAACGAAUCAACCAAUCAUGGCUAAAAGCGCCGAGAGGCUUCCUGGUACAUCCACCAGGCUGAGGACCAGAGAUGACGGCUGCUGCUCCGUGAAUUUCCUGAAAUACGUUCUACACAUCUA